rnacentral:rRNA from 1 species
UACGUAGGGGGCAAGCGUUGUCCGGAAUUAUUGGGCGUAAAGCGCGCGCAGGCGGUCAUUUAAGUCUGGUGUUUAAUCCCGGGGCUCAACCCCGGAUCGCACUGGAAACUGGGUGACUUGAGUGCAGAGGAGGAGAGUGGAAUUCCACGUGUAGCGGUGAAAUGCGUAGAUAUGUGGAGGAACACCAGUGGCGAAGGCGACUCUCUGGGCUGUAACUGACGCUGAGGCGCGAAAGCGUGGGGAGCAAACAGG